UACAGAGGGGGCAAGCGUUGUUCGGAAUUAUUGGGCGUAAAGGGCGCGUAGGCGGUCGGAUAAGUCUUGUGUGAAAUCUUCGGGCUUAACUCGAAGUCUGCACAGGAAACUAUCUGGCUUGAGUGUGGGAGAGGUGAGUGGAAUUCCUGGUGUAGCGGUGAAAUGCGUAGAUAUCAGGAGGAACACCUGUGGCGAAAGCGGCUCACUGGACCACAACUGACGCUGAGGCGCGAAAGCUAGGGGAGCAAACAGG
rnacentral:rRNA from 1 species